CAGCCGCCGCGGUAAUACAGAGGUCUCAAGCGUUGUUCGGAUUCAUUGGGCGUAAAGGGUGCGUAGGCGGUCGGGUAAGUCGGAUGUGAAAUCCUGGGGCUCAACCUCAGAACUGCAUUCGAUACUGCUUGGCUAGAGGACUGGAGAGGAGACUGGAAUUCACGGUGUAGCAGUGAAAUGCGUAGAUAUCGUGAGGAAGACCAGCGGCGAAGGCGGGUCUCUGGACAGUUCCUGACGCUGAUGCACGAAGGCCAGGGGAGCAAACGGGAUUAGAUACCCCGGUAGUCCCUGUCUCUUAUAC
rnacentral:rRNA from 1 species